rnacentral:rRNA from 1 species
AUACGUAGGGGGCGAGCGUUGUCCGGAAUGAUUGGGCGUAAAGGGCGCGUAGGCGGCCCGGUAAGUCUGGAGUGAAGUCCUGUUUUUAAGAUGGGAAUUGCUUUGGAUACUGUCGGGCUUGAGUGCAGGAGAGGUAAGUGGAAUUCCCAGUGUAGCGGUGAAAUGCGUAGAGAUCGGGAGGAACACCAGUGGCGAAGGCGGGUAACUGGACUGCAACUGACGCUGAGGCGCGAAAGUGUGGGGAGCAAACAGGAUUAGAUACCCUGGUAGUCCACACUGUAAACGAUGAAUGCUAGGUGUAAGAGGUAUCGACCCCUUUUGUGCCGGAGUCAACACAAUAAGCAUUCCGCCUGGGGAGUACGGCCGCAAGGUUGAAACUCAAAUGAAUUGACGGGG